rnacentral:lncRNA from 1 species
UCUUCUCUCUCAAAAACCUCUCAAGAACAAGGCUAGGGUUUCAAUAGGGAAUCCAAAUUCAAGACUCAAAUCCAAGAAUCUCUCCGUCAAUCUUCCAAAAAUCAAGAACUAAGGUAUGCGUUGUGUUGAUUUAUGGAUCCCUUUCAUCCAUAAAGCUCAAAAACCCUAUUUUUCAUUAUAAAGUAUGAUUUCUAUAUUGUUUGGUGUUGAUGAUCAUAUUGUUGACAUUGGGUGAUUCCCAAGAUGGAAUCUUUAUAUGUUUUUAUGAAUUCAUGAUAUCAUAUAAGUUGGAAACAUGUAAAUUUGGUUGUUCAUGAUGUAUAAUUUGAUGAUUUCACCUAUUCUUAAGAUGUGCAUAUAAGGUGUUUGAUAAAAAGCCUAGGAAACUAGAAAUCAUGCAAUAUAGCUAAAUUGUGACUAAGUGAAGGAUUCAUGAUAUGCCCUUACGUUCCAUGUAAUACAUUGUUGAUAACCAUGCUUAGUAUGAGAUCCCUACUUAUGAUAUUAUAAAUUAUGGACUCUACUCUUAUGAUCAAGUCAGUCAUAUAUGUCAGUUUCCUUUCAUUGAGCCCUGGGGGUACUUGUACCCGAAAAAUAUAGCUGUGUACCUAGGGCCAUGUCAUGUUUUCAUGAUAGUCUCAGUCAAGCCAUGUUCAGUAGACUUCAGUCAGUCUCAUGACUCAGGAAAUCUCAUGUAAAGGUAGUAUCAGUUCAGUUUUACUCAGUACUCAGUAAUCUACGUAAUCUCAGUAAUAUUCCCUCAGUCUAUGGAAUUCAGUAAAUCUCAGUAUCAGUAUAAUUUAGUUCAGUAUUCAGUUCAAAAAUCAUUAAACUCAAUCAGCUAAUAGAACUCAGUAGUAUUUAGUCAGUUAACAGAAUUCAGUAGUGUUUCGCUAGUCAUCGAAACUCUAUAAACUCAGUCCAUGUUCAGUUCAGUUAAACAGAACAUCAGUAACAGUUCAGUUAAAUCUAGUAUAAAAUAGGAAAUCAGUUCAGUAUAAUCAGUUCAUUGUCAUUCAGUUGGGAGUAGGAUUCAGCACCGAGCUAACCCAAGGAUGGGAACUCACCUGCCAGUAGAGGGUGUGAUUCUUAGAAGCAGUCCUUACGUUCCAGAACUAUGUAGCCAGCAUAGGUUGAGACAUCAAUACCUGUCAGUUGAGGGUAGAUGAGGUGGCUUAUCCUGUCAGAUGAGGGUUCCCACCAUUCUCAUUAGAGUACCUGCCAAAUGAGGGUCACUCACAACUUGUCCUUAACAGUGGUGCGGUAUUGACACCCUUCCAAUCAGGGCAGAGAUUGGACCCCAGCUUAGCUAUUAUAGUAUAUUUGGGGCAUAUCGGUUAGAUAACUCCUUCCCACAGUUUCAGUAUCAGUCUCAGUAAAAGAACUCAGAUAGUUCUUCAGGAUAUCAGGACUGUCAGAUACAGUUAACUCAGAUACAGUACGAAACUCAGCUAGUUCCAUCAAAUUUAAGAUUGUCAGAUAUAGUCAUUCAUGCUAUCAGUUAUCAGAACUAAUGUUAUCAAUAUAUCAGUUAUCAGAAUUCAGUUGUCAUUCAUGAUAUAUUAUCAGUAAAUACAUGUCAUCAGUAUUCAUACUCAGUAGUCAUGUUAUCACGAGCUCAGUUUUAGGACUGUUAUAUACGGUUAGUCAAAUCAAUUCUUCAUAAUUAGAACUAUCAGAAAUAAUCAUUCCUUUAUCAAUAAUAUAGUAUCAGUCUCCCAAUAUUCAGUAAUACAGUAUCAGUUCCUUACUUAUUAGUGAAUUACAUAUCAAUAUCAGUAAACUCAAUCAUUUAGUAUCUCAAUAUCAGUGAACUCAGUCAUUCAGUAUCUCAGCAUCAAUAAACUCAUGUUGUCAGUAUUCAGACUCAGUAGUCAGUAUCACCACAAGUUUAGUUGCAGUUGCGUAUGUAUGUAUGUGUUCUCACGUUCAUAUCAGUCAGCAUUGUUUAUGCAUAUAAAACCCUUUGUAUUUAGCCUACUUCACUCGUAUACUCAGUGCAUUUAGUUGUACUGACGCAUUCGUGCUAUGGUAUUUUAUUUGACGCCAUAGGUACAGAGGCAUGAGUUUCAAAAUAGCAGUAGCAUUGCAGAUUUCAGCAGUCAGUGCUCCUCUUCAUUCAAGGACAAUAUUAUUAUUACUUUAUUACAGUAUUUUAGAUUAGUUUUUCAGUUCAUGGAGUUAGUUGGAGACAUAUUCCUUUAACUCCUUAUUCAGUUCAGUUAGGCUUUUGGACUAGAUGUCAGAUUAGAUGUUCAGACUUCAGUAUUUAUGUUUUUUUUUUGAUAUUAUUAUACCAUAUUUUUCAGAUAUGUAUCAGUAUUGAACCUUAUGGCCUUACAGUUCAUGUUUCCACAUAUUUUAUGAGACAUUAUGCAGUUUAUAGGUA